UCUCAGCUUUUACAGGUGGCUAAUAUGGAAUGAAGUGAUUAUGUUUGGAAGCAGGAGUGACAUGGUGAAAGGAUACCUGAGACAAGCAGGCCACAUCACCUGGCGAAGCAGCUGCGUGGAGGACACUGAGAUAGUCUGUCAGGACUAACUGCAGGACUGGAUGGAGAAGGAUCCUAAGACAGGCAGUCAGCAACAUCUCAUGGAGCAGGAUGACGAUGCACUGCCAGAAAUAACUUAGAGGAAGCAAGAAUACUUGAAAAACAGGAAUCAAUGGAAUCCUCGUGGAAUCUACUCAUGAACGUUUUGAUAAUGGGUUAUUUCUAGUUGAUCUAAUUACGACAGCCAAAAUAACAUUGAUAUUUCACCUUCAUAUAAUCAAAGGCAAGCAGAAAUUGAUAAAUAAGUUCCCUAGUCAACUCCACUGGUUAAAGUUUGUGUUGGCAGGUCACACAUAUAUCUAUACAUAUAUCUUGGUUUUGCUGUCUACCCUUGGCUUAAUCUUGAGACUCUCUUCCUAAUUGCACAGUUCAUAUCUGCAGACUGAACUGUUGUGAAAACAAUUGUGCAAGUACUUUUAAAAUGUUUCUCUGUGACAGUAUUACAGAUGUAACUUUGAAUCCUCAUCAUGUUAAGUUUUUUUCAAUUAUUAAGUGCAUGGCACAAAGGUUGCCUAUCUUCAUAUGAAUUGCCAAUAUUGAAAAGAUGAGAAAACAGUCAAUCUACUGGUCAAAUUACAGUAGGAUGAAUUAUAUGUUGUAUAAGAUUUUUAAUGGACUAUUUUUUAGACAGUUGCCAUUGGAAGUACCAGAGAUUGGGGUGAACUUAAUUUCCUGCUACUACUGUAUGAUCUUUUCAAAUUCUGUCUUAUUGUUAGAAGCAAACUGAAUAACAGCAUAAUUUUGAGCAUUAAUUUUCAGCAUGUUAUUCCAAGCCCAGCACAAUUUAUCGCUCAUAUAAUCUUAUAGAGAAUUUAGAAAACAUAUUAUUCAAGAAUAUAUCUACAGAAGCUCCACAAUCACCUGAUGAAGGAGCGUUGCUCCGAAAGCUAGUGUGCUUCUAAUUAAACCUGUUGAACUAUAACCUGGUGUUGUGUGAUUUUUAACUUUCUACAGAAGUUAUUUAUGUUUACAGAUACCACCUGCAUCCAUAUAGGUGUUUAAUUCAUUCACAGGAUGUGGGUGUCUGGUAAGUUCAGUAUUUAUUUCCCAUCUCUAAUUGUCCUUAAAAUGGUGUUAGUUGGCUUCUGAAGGCAAUGUAGUGGGAUGGAGUUUGGAUUUUAAUCAAGUGAUUAAAAUAAAAUAAUUUGUUUCCAAGUCAGAAUAGUGUGUGAUGCGGAAAGGAACUUGUAGGCUUUGGUGUUUUCAAACAACUGCUGCCCAUAUCCUUGAUAAUUAUUAAAUGACAUGCAAAAUUAAAAAUUCCUGAUGAAGGGCUUAUGCCUGAAAUGUCGAAUUUCCUGUUCCUUGGAUGCUGCCUGACCUGCUGCGCUUUUCCAGCUCUGAUCUCCAGCAUCUGCAGACCUCACUUUCUCCUGCAAAAUUAAAAGCAAACUGUCCAGAAAAAAAAUGGAUGCGAGAGGAUAAUUUUAUGUAAGCAAUAAAUGACCAAUAACACACAGCUAGGAAACAGGAAAU